AACGAACGCUGGCGGCAGGCUUAAUACAUGCAAGUCGAACGCUGUAGCAAUACAGAGUGGCAGACGGGUGAGUAACGCGUGGGAAUCUACCCAAUACUACGGAAUAGCUCCGGGAAACUGGAAUUAAUACCGGAUGUGCCCUACGGGGGAAAGAUUUAUCGGUAUUGGAUGAGCCCGCGUUGGAUUAGCUAGUUGGUGGGGUAAUGGCCUACCAAGGCGACGAUCCAUAGCUGGUCUGAGAGGAUGAUCAGCCACACUGGGACUGAGACACGGCCCAGACUCCUACGGGAGGCGGCAGUAGGGAAUAUUGGACAAUGGGCGAAAGCCUGAUCCAGCCAUGCCGCGUGAGUGAUGAAGGCCUUAGGGUUGUAAAGCUCUUUCAGUGGGGAAGAUAAUGACGGUACCCACAGAAGAAGCCCCGGCUAACUUCGUGCCAGCAGCCGCGGUAAUAC
rnacentral:rRNA from 1 species